rnacentral:rRNA from 1 species
GUCCAGCAAUGGAUGCUGACGAGUGGCGCACGGGUGCGUAACACGUAUGCAAUCUACCCUUAACUGGGGGAUAGCCCCGAGAAAUCGGGAUUAAUACCCCAUAAAAUUAUGAAGUGGCAUCAUUUUAUAAUUAAAGCUCCGGCGGUUUUGGAUGAGCAUGCGCGACAUUAGCUAGUUGGUGAGGUAACGGCUCACCAAGGCGACGAUGUCUAGGGGUUCUGAGAGGAUUCACCCCCACACUGGUACUGAGACACGGACCAGACUCCUACGGGAGGCAGCAGUAAGGAAUAUUGGUCAAUGGACGCAAGUCUGAACCAGCCAUGCCGCGUGAAGGAUGACGGCCCUAUGGGUUGUAAACUUCUUUUGUACGGGAAAAAACCCUCGGUCGUGUAUCGGGGUUGAUGGUACCGUAAGAAUAAGCAUCGGCUAAC